rnacentral:rRNA from 1 species
AUGAACGCUGGCGGCGUGCCUAAUACAUGCAAGUCGAGCGAACGGACGAGAAGCUUGCUUCUCUGAUGUUAGCGGCGGACGGGUGAGUAACACGUGGAUAACCUACCUAUAAGACUGGGAUAACUUCGGGAAACCGGAGCUAAUACCGGAUAAUAUUUUGAACCGCAUGGUUCAAAAGUGAAAGACGGUCUUGCUGUCACUUAUAGAUGGAUCCGCGCUGCAUUAGCUAGUUGGUAAGGUAACGGCUUACCAAGGCAACGAUGCAUAGCCGACCUGAGAGGGUGAUCGGCCACAAUGGAACUGAGACACGGUCCAGAAUCCUACGGGAGGCAGCAGUAGGGAAUCUUCCGCAAUGGGCGAAAGCCUGACGGAGCAACGCCGCGUGAGUGAUGAAGGUCUUCGGAUCGGAAAACUCUGUUAUUAGGGAAGAACAUAUGUGUAAGUAACUGUGCACAUCUUGACGGUACCUAAUCAGAAAGCCACGGCUAACUACGUG